CACCUGAUUCCAUCCCGAACUCAGAAGUGAAACGAAACAGCGUCGAUGGUAGUGUGGGGUUUCCCCAUGUGAGAGUAGAACAUCGCCAGGC
rnacentral:rRNA from 2 species